rnacentral:rRNA from 1 species
UACGUAGGGUGCGAGCGUUAAUCGGAAUUACUGGGCGUAAAGGGUGCGCAGGUGGUUUUGCAAGACUGACGUGAAAGCCCCGGGCUCAACCUGGGAACGGCGUUAGUGACUGCAAGACUAGAGUGUGGCAGAGGGGGGUGGAAUUCCACGUGUAGCAGUGAAAUGCGUAGAGAUGUGGAGGAACACCGAUGGCGAAGGCAGCCCCCUGGGCUAACACUGACACUCAUGCACGAAAGCGUGGGGAGCAAACAGG